rnacentral:lncRNA from 1 species
UCGCUUAGGAAGAGAGUGAAGAUGGGGAGAGGCCGCUGCUCGGAGCUCGGAGACGCACACGUCCUCCACCGCGACACCGCGACACAGGGAAAGGAGCGUCCUCCACCGCGACACAGUGACACAGGGAAAGGAGCGUGCGGGGCGGUGGCAGAGCUGGCGCGGUGCUUCAAGGAAGCGCUUCCUUCUUCUCCGUGAAGACAGAGCAUUUGCUGAGAGGACAGACGUGGGACAAGGGCUGGCAGCCCUGGCACUGAACCCCUUUCCUGAUCCCACAGGUCGCGCCCCAUUUGCCUGGUGCCACCAGGGGUGCUGGGAGUUGAGAGGACGUGUCCAGCCCACCUCCCUGUCGCUGCUUGGCGUCACCUUUCACUCAUUCAAAUGGUUUUUAGUGCCUUGAUCACAGAAGCCACCUUAAACCCACUUCGGAAGUAGGUAGGGCAUCAAUCUGUCAGUCAAUCAACAAACAGCCUUGAAGAGUAGCUCAGUUACCAGUUACCCUCCCUUGUCCCAGGAGCCUCCUCCGGCGAGCUCUCCUCCUCCUCCCCGCUCCCCACUCCUGGGUAGACCAGUGCCCCACGGGUGGAAGCCACGAGAAGGCCAGGGUCCUGUGCAUACAUCUGUGAUUGCUCCUGUCACGUUUUGUGGCUUUAUGCCUCCCAGUGACCCCUGCUCCUCGAAGGGGACCAGCCUGACUUUGAAUCACCC